rnacentral:rRNA from 1 species
AUGCAGAUUAUUUUGUAUGCUGAUGGUGCCGUGGCGGCUGCAUGCCGGAGGGCUGCAUACUUGACUUCUACAUCGCCAUCUUCAACAAGGAGAAGAUCUCCCUCGCUGGCCACGACGAGGUCCGCGCCUGCACUCCCAUUCCCAUUCUUUCUCCCCCUCCAGGAAUUGGGGUUUCUAUUGCUUUUUUUUUUGUUUGGUGUGUGCCUCUGGAGUAUACGGUGGCGGGCGGGCGGAACUUCUUGCCACUGCUCCCAGAGGCGUCAAAGUCGUCAAGCCCUCUGUAGUGAUCGGACGGGACUACCAGGAUUGAGAAGAUUGUGA